UACGUAGGGCGCAAGCGUUGUCCGGAAUUAUUGGGCGUAAAGAGCUCGUAGGCGGCCUAUUGCGUCCGCUGUGAAAUCCCAGGGCUUAACCCUGGGCCUGCAGUGGAUACGGGUAGGCUGGAGGCAGGCAGGGGAGAACGGAAUUCCCGGUGUAGCGGUGAAAUGCGCAGAUAUCGGGAGGAACACCGGUGGCGAAGGCGGUC
rnacentral:rRNA from 1 species